UGCGCAGCGCAUGUUUGACCACGAUAUUGUAAAAGCUGACGCCCUUGAGGCGCGCGGUUCGGAUAUAUUGCGCGGUCAUCACCUCGGCCAUGCUGGCGCGGGUCAUGCGAGCGAUAUAGCCCAUGCCAUAAAGGGCGAUGGUCAGCACUGGCAGAAAGAAAUUCUCGAAGGUGGCGUC
rnacentral:ncRNA from 1 species